AAGUUGCACAUGUGUCAAGCAGCGGCGUAUAAAUAUAAGCGUGCACUAACGCCAAGGCUCAAAACGUUUCUCAUAUCAGUGAAAGACACUACUGUAUUACCUCGGAUCAUAAAAUCGUCGAAAAAAUAAGUUUCUCCAGUGAUCAAAGUAAAAGUAUAACAUCCGCUCAAAAUGUUGAAGUUUUACGUCACGGUGCUGUUGAUCGCAGUGGUGAUGAUUUGUCAAGUAAUGACGUUGGCGGAAAUCAAGCCCCGAACCAGCGACUCGGGCAAUGAUGGUUGCAACAACAACUGUAACGAUACGCCACGAAAAAUAUAGCGGCAAAUCUUCCAAGACAAUCAGCGGCUAAACUAUUCAUAUUUCAUCAGAGAGUCCAAUUAAUUAUCCAACAUUCGAAAGCAAAAUGGCUACCGGGAGGUUUAUACGAGGGUUGCAGGACGAUGAACACGAUCGAUUUAUGCACAUACGGUGAACGCCUUUGGGAUCAUUAAACUGCACCUUCAUCGCAAGAGUCUCAAUUCUAUUAAACGACUGAUUGCUAGCAACACGACUUGAAAUUGUCAUUAUUAUCAUUCUCAACACAUCAUAUUAAAAUGUAGAUCAGGCCAAAUUUUUCAUCCCUCGAUGAAAAGUUAAUUGCGUUUUUUUUCGUCAUUUUGUGUAUUUGACUAUUAAUUAUAAGAAGAGCUAUCAAUGAAAACAACUUGAUUUUCUGUUAAUUACUGAUUUUCCGUUAAUUUACCCACGCAAUGUUUCAAAAAAUAAAUUCAGCUGCUCUCCCA